AUGGUGGGGCGCUGGACUAGGCAGGCACCGCCGCCGCUCCUGCAUACCCGGGGGCGAGCGAGGAUGCAGGCAUGGCCGCCGCUCCCGAGGGAGUGGAUCUACCACUGCUGGUUUCAGUCACAUCACCUAUGCUAUAAUCCCACCCAUAUACAUGGCUGCCUGAAGGAGGUGUUCAAGAUGAAUGGGUACCGACAACAGCGGGCAGAUCAACUACGAGGAGCUCAAGGCUGUUCUGGAGCAGAUCCACAGAAGGUGAUCUGGCUAACAUGCCGUGGAUUCAGGAUAGUGUGUGGGAUUUCCAGUAGAAGAGUAUCUUCAGAGAUGGCUCUUCUUGGCACCGCUAUCUCUGGUGUGAAUGUCCUUGCCAUGCCCAUUUUAGUGCCAGACACAAUACAGGAGAGUAAUGUUAUCAGGUCAUCACUCUUGUGGAAGGAUCGGCGCAGCAGAGAUUCGAAGGAGAUCCAGGUGUUCUUCUCCAUCCUUCAACAAGUGGAUUAUUCUUUGUGCCAAUGCAUAGCUUGA
rnacentral:rRNA from 1 species